AGUGCCACAGAUCCAUGUCGGUCCAUGUGAAAUGGCCCGAGUGAGGUGAGUCUCAGACUCUGAAAAUUCUCCAGAGAAGUUUCUGUGCAGCUGGAGCCAUAAGGGUCUGAUCACACUUGAGAAGCUGGCAGUGCAGAGAGUAGAGCUUUGGAGUGGGGCAAAUCUGAGCGGGGAAACCAGUACCAGGAAUCGAACUCAAGACCUCACGCUUGCCGGGCAGACGCUGUGCCGCUGAGCCAAAUCCCCAGCCCUAUAUAUAUAACUUGUGUAGUAUUAUCUCCAGACUUUCCCGCAUGCUCUUUGCCUGGAUAGAAUGCCCCUCUCUCCCACUCAGAUGUCCCAUGGUUGCACUUUUUUCUGGGUAUUCCUCCUAGAAACAAAGGCCUUUUCCUCCUCUGAAUUACAGUAAGGUGAUGGCUCUUAAGCUGUGGGCUGCAGCACCUGGGGCGAGGGCUUCUGAAGCACUGCAAGCAACCUCUGCAACCUGUAGGUGCACAAAAGACUGAGUAGAUCACGUGCCUUGCAUAUACAGGUAUUGCUACAUAUACAUGUAUUGUGAUUAUCAGAAUACUGCAGAAAAUUCUUUGAAAUAAUUGAAUUUAUACAUUUUCUCCGUUGGAGGGAUACGAAGACCAUUACUUCGUAUGGAAAUGGAAUUCUCUGAUGUCCCACUUAAGGAGUGGGAAACUACUGCUUCAGGACUUAUUCUCCAAACAACUGAUCUUUAUAUAACUUCCCCUAACCUUUUCUGUGUUUACAUCUUCCCUUGACUACUGGGUCAUAAACAUCUAGAGAGGGUGUGGCCAGACUCCACACUUUUUCACAUGCCAUCUUUACAGUGGAUUACACACAGCAGGUGCUUCAACUGCUGUUUAGUUGAAGGGGCCCUUCCCCUGAGGGGCACAAGCUGGGUGCAUCGCCGUGUGCAUCGCCGUGUGCAACAGUGUGGCAGUCCAGGAUGGCAAACGCACCUAGUCACCACGAAAGACACCGUCGCCUGGGCAUGGCGACCUAGCCAGUCUGAGCCGGUCUCGCCCUUCUUUUCUGGGCCGGCCUGGGAGGGGUUAGAGCCGAAGCCACAGGGUCUCUUGGGUCCCCGCCCGGGACACAGAGUCCUCCCCAAGCCCCUACCCUACCCCCGCAGGGUUAACCCCGCCCCCCGCGCCUGUUUACCCCCGAGUCAGAGCCCUCUGGGGGGUCCCCGGCCCCUCCCCGCGCCCUCCCGGGCUUGGGCCUGACCCGGGAGUCCCUGUGGGCUAUUCCCCCCCCCACGCCUGCCAGCGCUCUCUAUUUAUAGCGGCCCCCCGCGUUCCCGCCCCCCUCCUGUUGUCCAACUUCUUCGGGAGCAGGCGGAAAGCAGGCGUCGGGACGCGGCACACAGGAGGUACCCGGACCCCGGGCCU